CUUCAGCUGCCGCGGCCCGGUGGCUCCCGGGCCGGAUCAAUACCCGGCACAAUGGCCCGGAGGACGCCGGGGGCCGCGCCAGCGCCGUGGCCAGCUCCCACCCAGCGCCCUGGGCCAGCUGCUCAGUCCUGCCGCCUCCUCCAGGGCCUGGCUUCCCUGCUUCCUCCACCCCGGGGCUGUGCCUCUGAGGACCCCGGGCUCGGAAGGAUGCCCCCCUCCCUCCGCAUGGGGGAUCCUCGGAGUCUUUUCUCAUUACUUUGUUUUUUUUUUCGGGUGGAUGAUGUUUUCUCUCUUCCCCUGCUGUCCGUGGCUGAAACAGGGAUGCAUUUUUCUCGGUCUCCAUCCGGAUAGAUUUUGAAAAGAGGAGCUGAAGUUUCCGUACUUUGAGGGCCCUUGUAAAGAAAAGCUAUGUGAACUUUUUGCCAAUUUUAUAAAAACGGGGGGGGGGGGGGGGGACCGCAUUGCCAAGGCCCCUCCUGCACUGGGAGGAGCUUGAGAGGUGGAAGCCCCUCGCUGGAGCCUCGAAGCUUUUGGAAAAGCCUGACCCAGAGUAAAGCCAGGCCCCGGAAAUCACCUGAUCCUCAGUUUUCCACACCCCCUCCACCUUCUGGAAAGAGGUGCCUGGCAGACCAAAAGAAAAAUCCUGCAUAACAAAACUUUCCAUGUUGUAGGGCUCAGAAAUGCCUAAGAGAAAUUAACCCAGAUGAUUGAAUUUUAAAACUUCAGAGAAGGAUGAAAUUUAGGAAAAACAACAAGAGUAAAAAUUGCCCAGUCCUGAACACAUUAAACUCACUUAAACAAAAUAACCAUCUUUCAAGUUCAGAUUUGCCAUAAUUCGGUCAUGGUUUAUGAAACCAAUAUUGAGUAAGAAAGUCAAAAUGAUUUCUUUCUCUGUAAAUUUUUGGGGUUUUGUUUAUAAACACAGAGAUUCCAUCAUAAAAUGUAUUUUUUUAAGCCAAGCACGCAAAACAUGAGGAAUUUCUCCAAAAUGGCCAGCAAUUUAUUCUCGUUUGCUAUGUUUAUGAUCUACAGGAUGUCCAUAAAGCCUGGAAACAUAGGGGAAUAUAAAUAAUGUGGUCAAGAACUAAUAAUAACUAUAUUUCCAGACUUUAUGGAUGUCUUUUAUCAUCACUGUCUUGUAGACAGUACAAAUGAAAAGCUACUUAACAUUUCUUAAGCGAUGCAAAUAUGUAUUCGAGUUGAGAGUAAGUAGAUCUUCCUCUACAUAAGAAUGUACCCCAUUCGUGUACAUUUUUUGGAAGACAGGUAAAAAUUUAAUGAAUACAAUUGAAGAUGACUUUGUAAA